rnacentral:tRNA from 1 species
GGGCAAUUAGCUCAGCGGUAGAGCGUUCCCUUUACACGGGAAGGGCCGGGGGUUCGAUCCCCUCAUUGCCCACCA